GAAAGGCAAGUUUAAAAUGUCAUGAAUUUGCUGAAGAAUCAAGGCAUCAAAUUUGGUCAACAGAACUUUGUAUCAUGCCGUGACAGGCCAGGAAAUAUCUCAUGUAUCUGUGCUUCUUGGAGGUCAUAAUCCCACCUUUCAUACAUCAAUUUUCUGUUUCAAAUUUCAACCUUAGAACAAAAAUGGAAGAGGAGAGCUUAUUUACUCAAAAGGACUCAACUGGAAGCUUCUCAAAUUACGGUGGAUCCCCUUUAUGAAAUCAUUUGAUGACUCAUUGAGAAAGGCC